GAUGAACGCUGGCGGCGUGCCUAAUACAUGCAAGUCGAGCGAACGGACGAGAAGCUUGCUUCUCUGAUGUUAGCGGCGGACGGGUGAGUAACACGUGGAUAACCUACCUAUAAGACUGGGAUCACUUCGGGAAACCGGCGCUAAUACCGGAUAAUAUUUUGAACCGCAUGGUUCAAAAGUGAAAGACGGUCUUGCUGUCACUUAUAGAUGGAUCCGCGCUGCAUUAGCUAGUUGGUAGGGUAACGGCUUACCAAGGCAACGAUGCAUAGCCGACGUGAGGGGGGGGUCGGCCACACGGGAGCUUGGACACGGUCCAGACGCCUGCGGGAGGCAGCAGUAGGGAAUGUUCCGCAGUGGGCGAAAGCCUGACGGAGCAACGCCGCGUGAGUGAUGAAGGUCUUCGGAUCGUAAAGCUCUGUUAUGAGGGAAGAACAUAUGUGUAAGGAACUGUGCACAGCUUGACGGUACCUAAUCAGAAAGCCACGGCUAACUACGUG
rnacentral:rRNA from 1 species